rnacentral:lncRNA from 1 species
CUCGCAGAGUUUCUAGUAAAUCAGAAUUUAAAAUUUAUGUUUAGAGAUUUUUCUUGUCCAAAACUCUAAUUGAAUUCUCCAUUUUUGCUCCAAAUUCACUCCAGGCGCGCCAAACACGACCACAUUUGACAAGCAAACUUGACGAGUAUAUAUAUCUCACCUGUUCUAGCUGAAAAAUACAGGUAUUACACGGGAUUGAGUUGGGAUGCUGCGCUACUGGGCGUAGUCGUAGAUGAAGUCGGAGUUGCCGACCAUGGCGUUGAGCACCUGGGAGACGAGGAAGCCGCUGCCGGCGAUGACGGCGAUGAUGAGCAGCGCCGUGACGGGGUUCUUGAGCAGCUCCACGAUGGGCUGCAGCAGCGUGUAUGCCACCCCGGUGCUCACCGUCNNN